GUCUCGAUAGCUAAGUGGUAUAGCAUGCGAUUGCAGUCUUGAUCAUCGCAGGGUCCGGUGUUCGAACCACCGUCGGGACU
rnacentral:tRNA from 1 species